rnacentral:misc_RNA from 1 species
GAUGAAGAACGCAGCGAAAUGCGAUAAGUAAUGCGAAUUGCAGAAUUUCCGUGAGUCAUCGAAUCUUUGAACGCACAUUGCGCCCACUGGUAUUCCGGUGGGCAUGCCUGUUCGAGCGUCAUUAUCCUCCCUCAAACCUCUGUGUUUGGUGUUGGGCCGCGUUGGCGUCACAGCCAACUGUCUCAAAGACAAUGACGGCGUCCGUGGGACCCUCUUCGCAACGAGCAUCUUCGGAAGCACGCGUCGAGUCUAAAGGACCUUCCGGGCCGGUCUACCCUUUAUCUUUACAAGGUUGACCUCGGAUCAGGUAGGAAUACCCGCUGAACUUAAGCAUAUCAAUAAGCGGAGGA